rnacentral:rRNA from 1 species
CCUACGGGAGGCAGCAGUGGGGAAUAUUGGGCAAUGGGCGCAAGCCUGACCCAGCAACGCCGCGUGAAGGAAGAAGGCUUUCGGGUUGUAAACUUCUUUUAAGAGGGAAGAGCAGAAGACGGUACCUCUUAAAUAAGCCACGGCUAACUACGUGCCAGCAGCCGCGGUAAUACGUAGGUGGCAAGCGUUGUCCGGAGUUACGGGGUGUAAAGGGCGUGCAGCCGGGAAGAAAAGUCAGAUGGGAAAGCCCGCGGCUCAACCGAGUAACUGCAUUGGAAAAUGUUUAUGUUGAGUACUGGAGAGGUAAUCGGAAUUCCUUGUGUAGCGGUGAAAUGCGUAGAUAUAAGGAAGAACACCAGUGGCGAAGGCGGAUGACUGGACGGCAACUGACGGUGAGGCGCGAAAGCGUGGGGAGCAAACAGGAUUAGAGACCCGGGUAGUC